GGUAUACCAAAAUAAAAUAUUUUCUUAAUUAUUUUAUAAAAUGUAAAUCGUUCGGUUUCAAAAUUAUGGUGUAAAAUAUGUUUAUCUAACGUUUUUAAAAAUUCAGAAAUUGGAAUGAAAUUAAUUACAAAAUUUCCAGUAUGGCCUUACAUUUCAGUGCAAAUCAGUUGUUAUUGAUGAUCAAAUUCUGCAGAAAUUCUAUGUAAAUGCAUUUAUACACAAUUUAUACACCAUUAAAAUAGUUUAUCCAAUACUAUGAAUUUUUACUUAACAACCAAUCUUAUAGGUGCUGCCUCAUAGUGAUUAUUUCACCAUAUGUCGACUUUGUUAGCUCAGAGUCAAUGUUUUCCAUGUACAUAUGUUAUUAGAUUGCAGUACUAUAUUAUGUGCAGGCAAGGAAA